rnacentral:lncRNA from 1 species
ACAUCCUCUACAGAGCCCAAGGGAUUGUAUUCCUGUGCUGAUGAAGCUGCAAAACAUCAUAAUGGAUAAAAUAAAGGUGGAUUGUACAGAAUCGUUUGACAAUGGCACCAAGAAGAAUCCACCCAGGACCUAAUAACAGAAUACACAGCGCACGUUGGUUUUCGUGGGUACCUGCACUGUAGUGCUCCUUGUAAGGAACAAUCACUGCCCUAACAAGUGUGACUCCAGGAGCUGUGCUGCAAGGUAGCUCGGUAAGAUCAAAGGACUUGUUGGGUUCCAAGUUCAUCUUCCGACUAAAGGGAAUGCUGGUCCCCAAGCUGGUCUUUGUGGUGGAGAUUGUCAUUGUCCUGAUUGCUUUCAUCCCUUUGCCUUUGGCAGCACACUUUGCAAACCCAGAAAUCUAAACACUGCAAAAAGAAAACUGCCUCUUUUUUUCCCCAGAUUAUUUCUGUAGGCUGCCACUCUGCCAAAGCUGGUUACUGGCGUGGCA